GUGGAUUAGUGGCGAACGGGUGAGUAACACGUGGGCAAUCUGCCCUUCACUCUGGGACAAGCCCUGGAAACGGGGUCUAAUACCGGAUACCACUCCUGCCUGCAUGGGCGGGGGUUGAAAGCUCCGGCGGUGAAGGAUGAGCCCGCGGCCUAUCAGCUUGUUGGUGGGGUAAUGGCCCACCAAGGCGACGACGGGUAGCCGGCCUGAGAGGGCGACCGGCCACACUGGGACUGAGACACGGCCCAGACUCCUACGGGAGGCAGCAGUGGGGAAUAUUGCACAAUGGGCGAAAGCCUGAUGCAGCGACGCCGCGUGAGGGAUGACGGCCUUCGGGUUGUAAACCUCUUUCAGCAGGGAAGAAGCGAAAGUGACGGUACCUGCAGAAGAAGCGCCGGCUAACUACGUGCCAGCAGCCGCGGUAAUACGUAGGGCGCAAGCGUUGUCCGGAAUUAUUGGGCGUAAAGAGCUCGUAGGCGGCUUGUCACGUCGGAUGUGAAAGCCCGAGGCUUAACCUCGGGUCUGCAUUCGAUACGGGCUAGCUAGAGUGUGGUAGGGGAGAUCGGAAUUCCUGGUGUAGCGGUGAAAUGCGCAGAUAUCAGGAGGAACACCGGUGGCGAAGGCGGAUCUCUGGGCCAUUACUGACGCUGAGGAGCGAAAGCGUGGGGAGCGAACAGGAUUAGAUACCCUGGUAGUCCACGCCGUAAACGUUG
rnacentral:rRNA from 1 species